rnacentral:rRNA from 1 species
UACGUAGGGUGCGAGCGUUGUCCGGAAUUAUUGGGCGUAAAGAGCUCGUAGGCGGUGUGUCGCGUCGGUCGUGAAAACUUGGGGCUUAACUCUGAGCUUGCGGUCGAUACGGGCAUCACUUGAGUUCGGCAGGGGAGACUGGAAUUCCUGGUGUAGCGGUGAAAUGCGCAGAUAUCAGGAGGAACACCGGUGGCGAAGGCGGUUCUCUGGGCAUGUUCUGACGCUGAGGAGCGAAAGUGUGGGGAGCGAACAGG